UGGGGAAUAUUGGACAAUGGGCGAAAGCCUGAUCCAGCCAUGCCGCGUGUGUGAAGAAGGUCUUCGGAUUGUAAAGCACUUUAAGUUGGGAGGAAGGGCAUUAACCUAAUACGUUAGUGUUUUGACGUUACCGACAGAAUAAGCACCGGCUAACUCUGUGCCAGCAGCCGCGGUAAUACAGAGGGUGCAAGCGUUAAUCGGAAUUACUGGGCGUAAAGCGCGCGUAGGUGGUUUGUUAAGUUGGAUGUGAAAGCCCCGGGCUCAACCUGGGAACUGCAUCCAAAACUGGCAAGCUAGAGUACGGUAGAGGGUGGUGGAAUUUCCUGUGUAGCGGUGAAAUGCGUAGAUAUAGGAAGGAACACCAGUGGCGAAGGCGACCACCUGGACUGAUACUGACGCUCAGGUGCGAAAGCGUGGGGAGCAAACA
rnacentral:rRNA from 1 species